rnacentral:rRNA from 1 species
UACGAAGGGGGCUAGCGUUGCUCGGAAUCACUGGGCGUAAAGGGUGCGUAGGCGGGUCCUUAAGUCAGGGGUGAAAUCCUGGAGCUCAACUCCAGAACUGCCUUUGAUACUGAGGACCUUGAGUUCGGGAGAGGUGAGUGGAACUGCGAGUGUAGAGGUGAAAUUCGUAGAUAUUCGCAAGAACACCAGUGGCGAAGGCGGCUCACUGGCCCGAUACUGACGCUGAGGUGCGAAAGCGUGGGGAGCAAACAGG